GUAGCUAUAGCUCAGUGGUAGAGCACAUGCUUAGUAAGCAUGCGGUCCUGGGUUCAAUCCUCAGUACCUCCA
rnacentral:tRNA from 1 species